rfam:Ciona savignyi cont_4938, whole genome shotgun sequence.
GACGAGGUGGCCGAAUUGUUAAGGCGAUGGACUGCUAAUCCAUUGUGCUCUGCACGCGUGGGUUCGAAUCCCAUCCUCGUCG